CAUAUUCAUUGUCCUCAUAGAGCAUCUUAGAGGAUCUGGGAACCUAAACAAUUUAUUUAAAAUGAAAAAAGUAGAACUUGUAGUAUAGAUCCUUAAAAAUCCAAUUGUAGUGUCUUUCAUGACACUGCCAGAAUGGAAUGUGCUAAUGCCUUCAUAGUGGGUUAAAAUGAAAAAGUAGAACUUGUAGGAUAGCACCAUAAAGAGCUCAGGAAGAAAGAUAAAUGUUUUCCAUUUCCAGAAAUAAGUAAGAAAUCCAGCUUCUCCUUGAAGAAGAUCAAACUAAUCCAAAAUGCAAUCCACAAUAAGGACCACUACGCAAAGGAGAGGCACAUUCUAAGUAAAUAGAAGAUAUGUGAAGCUGGAAACUGCAUCCAACAAAGUUCUU
rnacentral:lncRNA from 1 species